rnacentral:rRNA from 1 species
AACGAACGUUGGCGGCGUGGAUUAGGCAUGCAAGUCGCGGGAAUGCCCAGCAAUGGGUGGAACCGGCGUAAGGGGCAGUAAUGCGUGGGUACCUACCGCAGGGUUGGGCAUAGCCCGUAGAGAUACGGGGUAAUUCCCAACGAUGUCGUAAGACCAAAGCUCCGGCGCCCUGUGAGGGGCCCGACGUGAUAUUAGCUAGUUGGUGAGGUAACGGCUCACCAAGGCGUAGAUGUCUAGCGGGUGNGAGAGCACGACCCGCGCCACUGGCACUGAGACACUGGCCAGACACCUACGGGUGGCUGCAGUCGAGGAUCUUCGGCAAUGGGCGCAAGCCUGACCGAGCGACGCCGCGU